ACUGCAAUGAGGGGGGAUAGGACCUUUAUCGGGACUCCGGGAUCGGGUGUUUUUAAGCUCGGGAUUUCGGGAUUGACCCUUUCGGGAUCGGGGAAUCCUUUUUUUUUCGGAUUUCGGGAUGUCGGGAUUUGCUUUAUUUAAAUUCGGGACCUCGGGAUUUCGUUUUUUCAAGUCCGGGAUUUCGGGAUCAAGACCCCUCCUAUCCCCCCUCUGCAAUG
rnacentral:lncRNA from 1 species